AACGAACGCUGGCGGCAUGCCUAACACAUGCAAGUCGAACGAGACCUUCGGGUCUAGUGGCGCACGGGUGCGUAACGCGUGGGAACCUGCCCUUAGGUUCGGAAUAACUCCCCGAAAGGGGUGCUAAUACCGGAUAAUGUCUUCGGCCCAAAGAUUUAUCGCCUUUGGAUGGGCCCGCGUUGGAUUAGCUAGUUGGUAGGGUAAAAGCCUACCAAGGCGACGAUCCAUAGCUGGUCUGAGAGAAUGAUCAGCCACACUGGGACUGAGACACGGCCCAGACUCCUACGGGAGGCAGCAGUGGGGAAUAGUGGACAAUGGGCGAAAGCCUGAUCCAGCAAUGCCGCGUGAGUGAUGAAGGCCUUAGGGUUGUAAAGCUCUUUUACCCGGGAUGAUAAUGACAGUACCGGGAGAAUAAGCUCCGGCUAACUCCGUG
rnacentral:rRNA from 1 species